rnacentral:rRNA from 1 species
GACAGAGGAUGCAAGCGUUAUCCGGAAUGAUUGGGCGUAAAGGGUACGUAGGCGGAUAAGCAAGUUAGAAGUGAAAUCCUAUAGCUCAACUAUAGUAAGCUUUUAAAACUGCUCAUCUUGAGGUAUGGAAGGGAAAGUGGAAUUCCUAGUGUAGCGGUGAAAUGCGCAGAUAUUAGGAGGAAUACCGGUGGCGAAGGCGACUUUCUGGCCAUAAACUGACGCUGAGGUACGAAAGCGUGGGUAGCAAACAGG